rnacentral:rRNA from 1 species
GACGGGGGGGGCAAGUGUUCUUCGGAAUGACUGGGCGUAAAGGGCACGUAGGCGGUGAAUCGGGUUGAAAGUGAAAGUCGCCAAAAAGUGGCGGAAUGCUCUCGAAACCAAUUCACUUGAGUGAGACAGAGGAGAGUGGAAUUUCGUGUGUAGGGGUGAAAUCCGUAGAUCUACGAAGGAACGCCAAAAGCGAAGGCAGGUUACUACCAAUAUAUUGACGCUGAUGGACGAAAGCGUGGGGAGCGAACAGG